AUCUCCACAAAUGCAGUUCCCUAAAAAAAGCAUGCGAGCAAGAGACAACCUCUGGAGGGGAAACGGCUCGGAAACGUGCCUUUGCAGGCCUGUAGCUCGGGCCAAGUUUAAGCUAGUGACAAAACUUGAUGCGAGGCCGGCGGCAGCCCAGGUGCGCCGCGCCACCGCGUGUUGCCGGUCCCGGCCGAGCCCCGCGCCGGCCGUGCCCGUGGGGCAGCGUGCAGACCCCGCCGGGGCGGGCUGAAGCCCCGCGGGCGCCCCGGGCCCGAGGCGCGGGCGCCGCGCGGGGGGGGGACGCCGGCCCUGCGGCGGGCCACUCGCUCGCCGGGAGCGACGGGAGGGCGGCGGCGGGGCAGCGCGGCGAGAGCGGGCGCCCCCCAGCCGUGCCCGCGUCCCGGUGCUGCAUGGCGCUGCUCAGCCUGCCUUGCAGAGGGAGCUCGAGUCCCGCUCUGCGCCUCGCAGCGCCUCUCACUCCGCAGCACACGCCAGCGCAGCAAGGCGGCGGCCGGCAGGAGCGGGACACGCAGCCGCCGCCACCGCGUCCGCCCUGCGGCCAGGCGCCAGCCGGACACCAAGCGAGGCCAGGGGCACCGGGUGGAGCGCGCCGGGCCGAGCCCCGCAGAGGGUCAUGGUGAUCGUGAGAGAUUCCUAAGGACUGGAAGAGAGCAAAUGUCACUCCUGUCAUCAAGGGCAACAAUGAGGAUCUGGGGAACUACAGGCCAGUCAGCCUCACCUCGGUCUCUUGGAAGGUGAUGAAGCAACUAAUCCUGUUUCCAGACAUGUGAAGGACCGAAAGGUGACUAAGAGUAGUCAGCAUAGAUUUACAAAGGGGAAAUUGUGCUCAGCCAACCUGAUCUCCUUCUAUGAUGAGAUGACUGGCUUGGUGAAUGAGAGGAGAUCAGUUAAUGUUGUUUACCUUGGCUUCAGUAAGGCUUUUGACACUGUCUCCCUUAAUAUCCUCACAGACAACUGAUGAAGUGCAGGCUAGAUAAGUGGUUAGUGAGGUGGACUGAAAACUGGCUGAAUGGCUCGACUCAGAGGGCUAGUCCAGCUAGAGGCUAGUCACUAGGGGUCACUAGGAGUCAAUCCUGGGGCCAAUACUAUUUAAUAUCUUCAUUAACGACCUGGAUGAUGGGAGCAAAUGCACCCUCAGCAGGGUUGCAGAUGUCACAAAACUGGGAGGAGAGGCUGAUACAUGAGAUGCUUGUGGUGCCAUUCAGAGGAACCUCCAUAGGCUGGAGAGAGAGGCCCAGAGGAACCUCAUGAAGUUCAGCAAAGGGAAGUGCAGAGAGAAUGCACCGAGGGAGAAAUAACCCCAUGCAGCAGUACAGGCUGGGGGCUGACCUGCUGGAGAGCAGCUUAGAAGAGAAGGACCUGGGAGUCCUGGUGGACACUGAGUUGACCAUGUGCCAGCAUUGUGCCCUCGUGGCAACAGAAGGCCAUCAGGGCUGAAUUAGGAAGCGCUUUGCCAGCAGGUCAAGGGAGGUGAUCCUUGCCCUCUGCUUAGCCCUGGUGAGGCCACAUCUGGGGUACUGUGUCCAGUACUGUGCUCACAGUACAAGAAAGACAUAGAUUUACUGGAGUGAGUCCAGCAAAGGGCCACAAAGAUGAUUGAGGGACUGGAGCAUCUCUCAUAUGAGGAAAUGCUGAUAGAGCUGGGGCUGUUUACCCUGGAGAAGAGAGGGCUCUGGGGGAUAUUAUCAAUGUGUAAGAGGCAAUGGGCACAAACUGAAACAUAUGAAACUCUGUUUGAAAAUAAGAAAACACUUUACUGUGAGGGUGCUUGAAUGUUGGAACAGGUUGGCCAGCGAGGUUGUGAAGUCUCCAUCCUUGGAGAUACUCAAAACCUGACUGGAUUGUGUCCUGGGCAACAUGCCCUUGCUUGAGCAGGGGGUUUGGAUCAGAUGGUCUCCAGAGGCCCUUCCAGCCUGAAGUGUUCUGUGGUUCUAUGAAACUUUAUUUAAGUUUCUGUAAAUCAAUGAAGAUCACUUUCACAAGGGGGAGUGGUGAGCAAAGACACAUUCUUAGAAAGCAUCUGGGCUCGUGUCCUUCGUGAUCUGACAUUUUCUGCAUCUUCCUCUGUUGCAAAAUCUUCUGCGUUUAACAUUUUUUCAUCUUCAGUAGCACUGUUGAAGACCCAGUAGCUGAUUGACAGGCAAGCUGAGAGGAAGAGAAAUUUCCAUGAGGUUGUGCUACAUCCUCUUUGUAUUCUCUUACCAUGAAAACAUGUGAAAUGAGGCUAGGGUAAUGAGUAAAAAUAUUAAUAAUUUUAAAUUAAGGCACAUUGGCAGGAAGUUAAAUUUCUUCCUCCUUUUACUCACCUAUCCUUCCCAGGAGGCAGGGAACAAAGACAGGGAAUUCACAGAGAAGACUAAAUGUAAAGUAGCCUGAGCAUAAACCCAUGCUCCUAGGACUAAGGAGUUAUAAGGAUGUUACAGUUGAAACUGAUUUAAAAAAUCUUGCCCCAGAUUUUCACCUCUUGAGAUGUUAUUGCAGGGCAGAGUUAAAGUUGUUCAGCAGCCUGGGCUUUACCUCAACCUGCUUAGCAAGUGACAAAAAUAUCAGACAUAAGUAGCAUAUGUUAGCAUAUAUGUAAAUUGUGUCCUUAAAUCAUAGUCUGAAUAGUGGUUAUGUCUCAUUUAGCUGGGCUAUACGGGAAGGGAGAAGUGUCUGGCAGACUGCUAUUUUGUGAAGAGGUAGUUAGGAUGAGAGGUGGUGGUGAAAGAGGGAGGUGAUCCUUGCCCUCUGCUCAGCCCUGAUGAGGCCACACCUGGGGUACUGUGUGCAGUUCUGGGAUCCCCAGUAUAAGAGAGACAUGGAGCUACUGGAGCGAGUCCAGCGAAGGGCUGCUAAGAUGAGGAAGGGACUGGAGCAUCUCUCUUAUGAGGGAAGGCUGUGAAAGCUGGGACUGUUCAGCCUGGAGAAGAGAAGACUGAGGGGGGAUCUUAUCAAUGUGUGUGAGUAUCUGAAGGGAGGAUGUAAAGAGGAUGGGUCCAGACUAUUUUCAGUGGUGCCCAGCAAUAGGACAAGAGGCAAAUGGGCACAAACUGAAACACAGGAAGUUCCAUCUGAACAUAAGGAAAAACUUCUUUACUGUGAUGGUGACAGAGACUAGAGGAGGUUGCCCAGGGAGGCUGUGGAGUCUCCAUCCUUGGAGAUAUUCAAAAGGCAUCUGGACAGGGUCCUGGGCAACGUGCUGUAGGUGACCCUGCUUGAGCAGUGGGGUUGGACUAGCAGAUAUGUGGAGGUCCCUUCCAACCUCAAACAUUCUGUGAUUCUGUGUGAAUCUGUGAAAAUACAACCUCCUAAAAAUGACUUGGCAUCAAGAUUUGAGUCAUUUCUUAGAUAUGAGGGACAAUCAGAGCUUGUGACACUCCAAAGUGGCAGUGUCCACUUGGGGUCAUUCUAGCUGAUGCUCUGAGUGUCACUGAACUAAUAUCCUUGGCAAUCCUCAUAUCCUGGGCGUGAGCCCAGAUGCAGAGCAGGAGACGGUACAUUAGCUGAUUAGUUGUUUCCUGCUAGCAGGGGCUCCUCAGGAUGCUCUCCCAAGAGCAGCAGGCAAAAGCCAGUACCGUAAAGUCCCCUGGAAUCCACACGGACCCCUUUAACUCAGAGGAGAACAGCAGUAAAUGAGGAAAAGAAAAGUCUAUAACCAGAGCACAUGGAUAAUGUAACCAUGACACAGACACCCUCCCACUGACUAUGGCUCAUACAAGAAAAGCAAGUAGCUGCAACACUCACUGGUGCUGCUGAGCACAAGCAUGUCCAGAAGAGAGAGAUGUGCUUUAAGCGCUGACACAGAUUUGGCUGACAUACGUGGUGCUGGAAUACUGUCUUCUUUGGAAUAGCAAACAUGCCACUGCAAAACGCACCUUGUGGUGCUGUGUCCAGUGAGCUGGCCCUGCAGAGUGGUGUAGCUCCUGUGCAAGGGCUGGAGGAAAUGUCAAAUCCCAGAGUGCAGUUCCCUGGCUCUUUUCAAAUAGCUCGCUUUUGUGACAGUCAUGCUGCCCCUUCCCAGCCCUCAAAAAACCAAGCAGGAUGCAAACUGCAGUGAAUGUUUUAAGUGAGUCCCAUUCAAAAGACAAGAUUUUUUUAGAUAAUUCCAGUUAAAUGGCAGUCCUGCAAUUCCAGGUAACCUGGCAGUGUCCAUGGGGCAGAGGUCCUUGGUGAUGGUGGCGUGGACCCAUUUGGAGCAAAGGCUGCCAUUUAAUUCCAAAUUAAUCUUUUUUUUUUUUUUUUUCCAAUGUUCCCCAAGCUGACAAAAGUGAGAUUAUUCCUUGUAGUUCCAGGAGCAGAGUCAUUUUGUGCUGGGGAUCCUGACAUGCAGCACCCUGCCUGCCUUGACAGAAGGUUACUUUCUUGCUCAGAUUUCUGCAGCCAAGAUAUAGAUUAUCUUGGAAGUUGGUAUUGUGCUUCAGGGAUGGGGCUAGGUUUUGGCAGAGCAAGGAGAACACCCACUUAGAUGAGUGGAUUGAAUUCGUGGCUCUGGCUGCUGGAGUGAUGGGCUGUUUUUGUUUCCAGGGGUUAUUCUGAGGGAAAAGAAACCAAAUCAAAAAUAUAAGACGUCUGGGUCGCUUUCCACCUCUGCAGUGCCCUUGCCCCGGAGUUGUUUUCCCACUGCUGUGUGUGCCAGUUGGGACCCAUAUUUGUGCUCUUGCUGCCUACAGUGCCUGACAGUGCAAUACCUAAUACUUUGAGACAAUCACUGUACUUUCCUCCUAGGGCCCCUCCACCCCCUCCUCAGCAGGUGAAAUAAGGCUAAGCUAGCAGUGAUACAACAAAGCAUCCUCUGAUAUCAACAAAGCAUCAUCUUCUGUAAUCCCCUCUACAGGUAAAACCACCUCCAAAGGUACUUCCUCUGAAAGCAACUCACAGACAGUCUCAUGGGCACCAGGCUUGGCUAGUGUGGCCCCGUGUCUGCUUGAUGCUGCCCUGUACCAUGCACCUGGCAAAGACAUGGCAAAGACAUGGGCGAGAGCUGUCUUGUGCCAUCACUUUGCCAGGCUACCCAACCUCUGCCCACAGAUCCACUGCUCCAGCACAGCUUCCAGUGUGGGGGAGUGCCUGGGUGCUGCCCCUUGCUGUCAACAAGGUACUUCCCAACAUCUUACACUAAGGAAUUGUCCUGUCUGGGAUGUCCUAUGCACCAAGACACGCUGUCGUCCUUUCUGCAGUACCUCCUCCCCAACAAGGGGACAUGCAGCUCUGCUAGCAGCCCCUCACCAUGCAAAGCCGAGAGCAGAACCCAAGAUCCUGAUCCCCCUUGUACUGC